GAUGAACGCUGGCGGCGUGCCUAAUACAUGCAAGUCGAGCGAACGGACGAGAAGCUUGCUUCUCUGAUGUUAGCGGCGGACGGGUGAGUAACACGUGGAUAACCUACCUAUAAGACUGGGAUAACUUCGGGAAACCGGAGCUAAUACCGGAUGAUAUUUUGAACCGCAUGGUUCAAAAGUGAAAGACGGUCUUGCUGUCACUUAUAGAUGGAUCCGCGCUGCAUUAGCUAGUUGGUAAGGUAACGGCUUACCAAGGCAACGAUGCAUAGCCGACCUGAGAGGGUGAUCGGCCACACUGGAACUGAGACACGGUCCAGACUCCUACGGGAGGCAGCAGUAGGGAAUAUUCCGCAAUGGGCGAAAGCCUGACGGAGCAACGCCGCGUGAGUGAUGAAGGUCUUCGGAUCGUAAAACUCUGUUAUUAGGGAAGAACAUAUGUGUAAGUAACUGUGCACAUCUCGACGGUACCUAAUCAGAAAGCCACGGCUAACUACGUG
rnacentral:rRNA from 1 species